rnacentral:rRNA from 1 species
UACGUAGGGUGCGAGCGUUAAUCGGAAUUACUGGGCGUAAAGCGUGCGCAGGCGGUUUUGUAAGCCAGAUGUGAAAUCCCCGGGCUCAACCUGGGAAUGGCAUUUGGGACUGCAAGGCUCGAGUGCGGCAGAGGAGACUGGAAUUCCUGGUGUAGCAGUGAAAUGCGUAGAUAUCAGGAGGAACACCGAUGGCGAAGGCAGGUCUCUGGUCCAUGUCUGACGCUGAGGUACGAAAGCCAGGGGAGCAAACGGG